AUUGAACGCUGGCGGCAGGCUUAACACAUGCAAGUCGAGCGGAGGAUGGUAGCUUGCUACCUGACCUAGCGGCGGACGGGUGAGUAAUGCUUAGGAAUCUGCCUAUUAGUGGGGGACAACAUUCCGAAAGGGAUGCUAAUACCGCAUACGCCCUACGGGGGAAAGCAGGGGAUCGUAAGACCUUGCGCUAAUAGAUGAGCCUAAGGCGGAUUAGCUAGUUGGUGGGGGAAAGGCCUACCAAGGCGACGAUCUGUAGCGGGUCUGAGAGGAUGAUGCGCCACACUGGGACGGAGCCACGGCCCAGACUCCUACGGGAGGCAGCAGUGGGGAAUGUUGGGCAAUGGGGGGAACCCUGAUCCAGCCAUGCCGCGUGUGUGAAGAAGGCCUUUUGGUUGUAAAGCACUUUAAGCGAGGAGGAGGCUUACUUAGUUAAUACCUAGGAUAAGUGGACGUUACUCGCAGAAUAAGCACCGGCUAACUCUGUGCCAGCCGCCGCCGUAACAC
rnacentral:rRNA from 1 species